AUAAAUGCAUGAAUGAGAGAGAGAGAGAGAGAGAGAGUGUUUGGUGAAUCCAAUAAAUAGAGGGAAGGGAAGGGAAUGGUUCUGUUCUUUCUCUCUCCCUUCCUCCACUAAGAUCCAACUUCCAAGAACUAUGGUGAUCUGAUCAUCACUCUCAUGGAAUUGAAGUAAAGCUGCAUCCAAUUCUCCCAAUUCAUAUACAUUGCCUUUGACGUGGAUUCACCUCGCACCUUCUAAAGGCAAUGGACCCUCCAAUUCCAAUUAGGCCUCGUAUCUUUAUUAUUAUUUGUGCCGUGUAGUGAAUGGUAAAAUGUAAUGUAAUAUAAUUUCAUGUAAUGCAAGAAAAAAAAUUCACUUUAUAAGGUGAUCCAAGUAAUUGCUAUCAUUCCAAUUUUGCUUUGAA